CCUACGGGUGGCUGCAGUCGAGAAUCAUUCACAAUGGGGGAAACCCUGAUGGUGCGACGCCGCGUGGGGGAAUGAAGGUCUUCGGAUUGUAAACCCCUGUCAUGUGGGAGCAAAUUAAAAGGAUAGUACCACAAGAGGAAGAGACGGCUAACUCUGUGCCAGAAGCCGCGGUAAUACAGAGGUCUCAAGCGUGGUUCGGAAUCACUGGGCGUAAAGCGUGCGUAGGCUGUUUCGUAAGUCGUGUGUGAAAGGCGCGGGCUCAACCCGCGGACGGCACAUGAUACUGCGAGACUAGAGUGAUGGAGGGGGAACCGGAAUUCUCGGUGUAGCAGUGAAAUGCGUAGAUAUCGAGAGGAACACUCGUGGCGAAGGCGGGUUCCUGGACAUUAACUGACGCUGAGGCACGAAGGCCAGGGGAGCGAAAGGGAUUAGAUACCCCUGUAGUC
rnacentral:rRNA from 1 species